AAAAAUAAAGGACACAAGAAUUUACGUGGUUCGGUAAUUAAACCUACAUCCACGGAGGUAAGAAAGAAUAAUUGUUUAUUUAACAAUUAAUAGAAUACAAUAUUUGAGUAACGAAUCUCACUUCCCAGAAACCCAAAUAUACCCAGUACUCUCACACUCUGCAGGAAAGAUGAAUUCCCCAGACACACUUCUCUCACUUCUCUCAAAAGCUUAGAAACUUAUAAGCUUAACAAUUUUGGGAUUAUUU
rnacentral:lncRNA from 1 species